GGGAUCACACAAUGUUCCAUUUGAAUAACAGUAUGGAAGUGUGAGGCAGCUCUUUGGAUCUGAAUGGAAGUUUAUUUAUAACAGGCUUUUUGAAGAAAUGAAAAAAGUGUAUCUGGGAAAGGAGGAAGCAUGUCAUCGAAUCGAAACUCUGCUAUUGAUUUUGAAUGAAUGUAGGAGUUUUCCCUUAAUGAUUACGACUGUGUUCAGAAAUACAUUGACUGCACUGUGUCCUCACGGCUAUCCGAGAGCCUCAUUACUAACGUUUCUGCGAGAUUUCAAAUUCCUACUUCCAAUGUCUUUAAAAAGUAAUGAUGUCUUGGAGCCGGAUAGUUACGUGUGCCUUUAGAAAGUUGUUUAUUUAGAAUGUUUUUGGUGUUUAAAAAGAAGAAUGUUCUUUUUUUUUGUCUUCUCAUUUUGAGUAAAAAACGAACCGCGUAUUGAUAAUAAAUAAUUGUCAUAUCUCAUGAAUAUGUCACAGUCAUAUUAAUGCUUCAUCAAACACUUUGUUAAAGUGAACCCAACAUUCAGUUUAUCAACACUCACCAAUGCAAAUGUGACUGUGAUUUUUCACUGUUCAUCAGGCAACAAAUGUUAGUAUACAUAAUGCUGUUAACAUGUUUCUAUCACCGUUGUUGUUGUUGUACAUACAGAACCAAUUAUUUUUCUAUGAUGCUGUAAAACUUGAACACUGAGAAAAAAAAUUGAAUGGUUGAAAGAUCACGAGGUUCAGUAUUGUAGUGUUUUAUUUGGAAUUGUGGUAAUAAAAACCAGUGCUUACCUUGGAUUUAAAAAUUGCGGUGUGUUCUGGAAAUCAUCAUCGGCCCCACGUAACCAAUCCUCAGACCACCUUAAGGAAGUGCUAAGUGCCUGCUUGGCAUUCAGACUACAGUUCAAUCACCUCUUUCAUAUUACCCACACACAUUUGUUUUUCAUCUUAAAGUGCAAGGUGUUAAAAUAGGAAUGUAAUACUUCAAUGUAUUUCUUGAAAAGUGAUGUUACCUGUUUGUACAAAUUGCCCUAUUUUUUUUUUUUUGACAGUUUUUUCAAAGUUUGACUGAACAUAGAUUUAGCAUUAAUUUCAACGUCAAGCCAGCACAUCAUACCAAUACAUCAGUUGUUUAAUAAACCUUGUUGUUGAAGCUUUUAAGACCCCCGUACAUCUCAUUACCAGGCUUCAGUGUGUGGGCUUUUAGUAUGCUAAUAUCAGCUUCUUUUCCGUAGUGACCAUUAGAGGACAACAACCGUGCAACAGGAUGUGAGAAGAACUACAUUGUACUGAAUACUACCUUCCUCUUUUGUCCAGUAUCUGGGAAGGUGCCCGCUAUCAUCGGCUGAUGAAGGUAUUUCUGACACGGCUCAUUACUCUUUACAUGUAAGCAACAAAGGCUUGACCUUUUGGGUGGCUCUGGCUUUGUCCAAAUCUGAGAGCUGCAAAAAAAAAAUUGGGUGACCUUUUUAAAUUUGUUGUUUAGUCUGACCAAAAGUCCAAAACCCUAAUACAUUUAGUUCACAGUGAUGAUAGGAGACAGAAAACAACAACAAAUCAACACUUUUACGGAACCAGCUAAUGUCUUUGGCAUUUUAACUUGGAAAAUAAGUCAUUGAUCCAACUUGUGAAAUAAUUCUCUUGCUGUUCUAAUUGAAUAAUGAAGGAAUACUUUGACAUUUUGAGAAA